ACUACGGGUGGCAGCAGUGGGGAAUAUUGCACAAUGGGGGGAACCCUGAUGCAGCAACGCCGCGUGGGUGAAGAAGUACUUCGGUAUGUAAAGCCCUGUCAGCAGGGAAGAAAAUGACGGUACCUGACCAAGAAGCCCCGGCGAACUACGUGCCAGUAGCCGAGGUAAGACGUAGGGGGCAAGCGUUCUCCGGAUUUACUGGGUGUAAGGGGAGCGUAGGCGGCAAGUCAAGUCUGGAGGGAAAGCCCGUGGCUCAACCACGGGACUGCUUUGGAGACUGGGUUGCUGGAGUGCAGGAGGGGUAAGCGGAAUGCCUAGUGUAGCGGUGAAAUGCGUAGAUAUUAGGAGGAACACCGGUGGCGAAGGCGGCUUACUGGACUGUAACUGACGUUGAGGCUCGAAGGCGUGGGGAGCAAACAGGAUUAGAUACCCGAGUAGUC
rnacentral:rRNA from 1 species